rnacentral:rRNA from 1 species
UACGUAGGCAGCAAGCGUUGUUCGGAGUUACUGGGCGUAAAGGGUGUGUAGGCGGUUCUUAAGUUUGGUGUGAAAUCUCCCGGCUCAACUGGGAGGGUGCGGUGGAGACUGCCGGACUGGAGGCACUCAGAGGCCGGUGGAAUUCCCGGUGUAGUGGUGAAAUGCGUAGAGAUCGGGAGGAACACCAGUGGCGAAGGCGGCCGGCUGGGGGUGACCUGACGCUGAGGCGCGAAAGCGUGGGGAGCGAACCGG